CUUUCUUAACCCAAGAUGCUUCCCAUAGUUCUGCUGUGCUCCAGACAACAUGUCAUAAACACCAGGAACGUGCAGCAGAGCCAUUAUCAGCCCUGGAUUCUGGGCUGCAGCAUCCCUGCUGUUCAAAUAUACUGGCACAGGACAGAAAACUGAUAACAGUAAUUCUACAGAGCUUUUGAGCCAGGAGAAGAGGGUUGCAGACAAUUACUGCCUUGGAGGCUCAGAUCCCCUAAAGGCACUAGUGAAUUGAAUGUGCAAGAGAGACAAAGUGCCUAACAAAGAAAAAGCUGCUGCAUGACAAGGAUUGCCUCUGCUCUCACAAGGAACUCGACUAGCAAGGAAAUCUCCUUGUGGAGUACAAAUGCGAGCAAACCUACGACAGCAAAUGAGGCAACGGGAAACCACAGAAAUAAAGAUGUAGAAAGAGACUGGUGGACAUGAAA